CUCUUUCUCUUUUCUCCCUUCAUUCUGAUCAUCAGAGGUAUUCAUCUGCCUAAAGGAGUAUUUUCUUUUUCUUUCCUUUCUUUCUUGCUUCUUUUUAAACAGAAAAUCUGCAAAUAGAAGAAUCUUCUGACAUUUAAAAGUCCCUGGGAGAAUAAUGGGAUGAAAAAGAGAAAGCAGAGGAGGAGAGUAAAGUAUUUAUAUCUAUAUUUGAAUUCAUUCUUUUAUUUUGGUGGGGGAAGGGGCAGGAUCUGUAAAUAUGCUGCUUCAUAUCCUGGGUUUUAUCACUCUUGGGUGCAGCCAACUUUCAGUAAGCUUGGCAGAACAAUGUGGUCAGGAAGAAAGAGCUGAGAUUGACUAUACCGUAUGCCACUCGCUAUUUCUCUGUAGCAUAGACUAAAUAUAGAAGUGUCUGAGCAUCUGGUCUGGAGGUUUCCAGAGAGUGUUGCCAUAGAGGAAGUGAAGUGGCUCUAAAAGGAGCAGUGUAGAUGGAGUACAUACUAGGGACAAAUGUGAGUCAUACUCAAACAGGGAGAAGUCUAAAUUGCCCAUGGGAGCUAAGAGAGGCUGAGUCACUAUGGCCCUAGUCAAGACUAUACUAAGUGAAUCCUAAGCUAUGGUAGCCGACAACUUCAUUUUAGAAUGAAGCAGGGCAAGAAGCAUUCAAGUGGUUAGGCAACAUUAUCCCAUGCAUGUCUGAAGAUUCCAAGUCUUCCUCUUCACUAUGGUGUAAGCCAUGUUUGUCCAUUUGGUGCAUGGUAUGUAGUGGACGGUGUAAGCCACACCUGGAUGCCAUAUUAGAGGGAGAAGGAGGGGGAGUGAGGAUCUGAGCAUUUUUAACUAAAAGAGACUGAUUUAUUUAAAUAACUAUUUUAGCUAUUAGAUAACCUUAAGUUUAAACAGAUUGAAUUUAAUUUCUGCACAUUCCCUUGCCCCUCCAUGAGGAGCUCUUGAGCAACAGAACAAUUAUAGACAGACUAAAUGUCAUUUUUUCUUUUCACCCCCAAAUUGUAGGAUGAGCUGGAAUAUACAACAUCCCUACAUAGGCCUUUGAAUUGAUGAGUAAUAUGAAAUCAACAUAGGAGAUAUUUAUUGAGAGAUUGGAACAUGGAAGAAAUUAGGGUGGGUGCUGCAUGUUCUAAGCAAUAUCUGGUGAUAUUUAUUGGCAAAGGCAGUGAUCCUGAGGGGUAUGGAGGGUGGGGGAAGGUCUGUGAGGCAGAGACAUCAUAUCCAAUUAGGUCUGCACAGACAAACAGAGUGCCGGAGACUUGUAGAAGAUGGAAUGCCAGGGUGAAGAAUUUGGUUUUAUUUUGUAGAGUAUGAAGAGCUAGUGAAAGUUCACAGGAGAUUAACAAAAUAAAAAUUAAGGAUUUAGGAGGAACAGUGGUAAGAAAGAACAUGUAGGAGGCUUUUGCAGUAUCCAGUAAUGAGAUGUAAUCACUUGGAUUAGGAUUACGCCAAAGAAAAACAUUACAAAGAAAAAAACCCCUUCUUCUGGUGCCCAAGCAAAAAGCCUUAAUAACUAAAAUGGACUGGAAUGUUAACAUGUAAAAAUGAAGAUAGGGUGAAAAAGACAAGGGCUUUAAUGUUAGACAUAUUGAUGUUAAGGGAAUAUAGAACCUGAGCUCAGAAAGCAAUAUACAGUUAGAGAUAGAGAAUUGGGUAUCACAGGCUCUUAGUGUGUCCCAGUACAAGUCCUUCCCAGUUUUCAUAGCCCAUGGUCAACUCUUCUUUCCUUGAACAUCUUACAUGCUAAUUGUUUAUUACUUUUCAGAUCCUAUUGUUUCACUUAUACAUAGUUGUAAUAUUUUCAAUAAUUUUUAACCUGAAACUAGUAUCCAUUUUUCCUGAUGCAACACCUAAUAAGGUUAUUUCCUCUUUCCUAUGAAACCCUCCCAACAUUUGAAAAAGUUUAGUGUUCCUUCGAACUCGCUGGCUGCUUUCUCUUCUCCAGGUUGACACUACAGUUCUCUUGUGUUAGGUGACUAUGUUCAGACCCAUCACCUGAUUAUGAAUUCCCUUUUGUUUGUGGGGUUCCAAAUCAGACCUUGACUCUGAUGUGGCCUGAUCGACCCCAAGCACGGGGCAUCCAUCCACUUCCUUGCCUUGACCACAGCCCUAUUUUUACUAAUACAACUUAAUUUUGUGCUUUUUGACAACCACUUCAAUUUGUUGGCUCUUGUCAAGCAUGUGGACAUCUUAGAUGUGUUCAUUAAAGAUGUCAGAAUACACGAGAGCUCCCUGAUGGAGAGAAAAAGAGCAUGCAGCCAGAAGCUCAUAGUAUUUGGUCAAGUGUGUAGGGAAGGUAGCAAAGAAAAUAGAAAAACCAAACGCAGGGAAGCCAGGAUCAUAGGGAAUAUGUUGAGUGAAACAGUAGGCAGGAAUUGCCAAAUAGUUUUUCUUAAUCCCUCAGUCCAGUACUCACGAGAGUAGCUGUGCUAUGGAAAGAACACAUGCAUUAGAAUCAGUUGUCUCACUGCCGUUUAUGGGCUGUGUGAUCUUGGG
rnacentral:lncRNA from 1 species